UUUUAUUGAGAGUUUGAUCCUGGCUCAGGACGAACGCUGGCGGCGUGCCUAAUACAUGCAAGUC
rnacentral:rRNA from 1 species